rnacentral:rRNA from 1 species
GACGUAGGGCGCAAGCGUUGUCCGGAUUUAUUGGGCGUAAAGAGCUCGUAGGCGGCUCGUUGCGUCGGCUGUGAAAACCCGCAGCUCAACUGUGGGCUUGCAGCCGAUACGGGCGGGCUGGAGUUCGGUAGGGGAGACGUGGAAUUCCUGGUGUAGCGGUGAAAUGCGCAGAUAUCAGGAGGAACACCGGUGGCGAAGGCGGGUCUCUGGGCCGAUACUGACGCUGAGGAGCGAAAGCGUGGGGAGCGAACAGGAUUAGAUACC